CGGUUCAANUCUCGGGAGGCAGCAGUGUGGAAUAUUGCGCAAUGGGGGAAACCCUGACGCAGCGACGCCGCGUGAGUGAGGAAGGCCUUCGGGUUGUAAAGCUCUGUCAGGUGGGAAGAAAUGUGUGGUGGCUAAUACCUGCCAUGCUUGACGGUACCGCCAGAGGAAGCACCGGCCAACUCCGUGCCAGCAGCCGCGGUAAUACGGGGGGUGCAAGCGUUGUUCGGAAUUAUUGGGCGUAAAGAGCGUGUAGGCGGCUAGGUAAGUCAGAUGUGAAAGCCCUAGGCUCAACCUGGGAAGUGCAUUUGAAACUGCUUGGCUAGAGUGAGGGAGAGGAAAGUGGAAUUCCUGGUGUAGAGGUGAAAUUCGUAGAUAUCAGGAGGAACAUCAGUAGCGAAGGCGACUUUCUGGACUGAAACUGACGCUGAGGAACGAAAGCGUGGGGAGCAAACAGGAUUAGAUACCCUGGUAGUCCACGCCGUAAACGAUGGAUACUUGGCGUCGGCCGUAAAGGUCGGUGCCGGAGCAAAUGCAUUAAGUAUCCCGCCUGGGGAGUACGGUCGCAAGGCUGAAACUCAAAAGAAUUGACGGGGACCCGCACAAGCAGCGGAGCAUGUGGUUUAAUUCGAAGCAGCGCGAAGAACCUUACCAAAUCUUGACAUAUCAGAGCGUAUCUUAGUAAAAUAAGAGUUCCUUAGGGACGUCUUGAAAC
rnacentral:rRNA from 1 species